rnacentral:rRNA from 1 species
CUGGCUCAGGAUGAACGCUAGCGGCAGGCUUAACACAUGCAAGUCGAGGGGCAGUCGCGGGGAGCAAUCCCGUGGCGGCGACCGGCGAAAGGGUGAGUAACGCGUGAGCAACAUCGCCCGUGACGAGGGGGAUAGGCACUGGAAAACGGUGUGUAAUACCCCCGUAACACAUCAUGCUGCAUGGCAAGAUGUUGAAAGAUUCAUCAGUCACGGAUUGGCUCGCGUCUGAUUAGCUGGAUGGCGGGUAACGCCCACCAUGGCGACGAUCAGUAGGGGUUCUGAGAGGAAGAUCCCCCACAUUGGAACUGAGACACGGUCCAGACUCCUACGGGAGGCAGCAGUGAGGAAUAUUGGACAAUGGCCGGGAGGCUGAUCCAGCCAUGCCGCGUGCGGGAAGACGGCCUAUGGGUUGUAAACCGCUUUUGUCGGGGAGCAAUAAGUGUUACGCGUAACACGAUGAGAGUACCUGGCGAAUAAGCAUCGGCUAACUCCGUGCCAGCCGCCGC